ACUAUACUUUGACAUUUUCUGAACUACAUCCUAUACUAUGGUGUUAUACACAGAGUGCUUUGGUUACAUGUUGAUUUAUAAUCUAGAUUUUUUUCCUGUUUUGUUUUUGAUGGGAUUACCACAGACCUGACCAUGAACACCGUUGACACCCACCUGAGGGAGACGCUGCCUAAGAUCUCAAGGCUGCUUGGUCAUGGUCUUUCUGCUCCACAACAUCUUCAUCAACUACGUCUUCUUUUGAAGAGGCCCUCAGAUGCUGCAAUCUCUGACCUGAAGGAGGAACUGCUACUUUCACUCUGUAAUGAGACAGCGGUUAUUUAAAGACCCAGCUCCUGGCGACUUUGAGUGAAAAUUUAACAUCUAUCAAAACGGAACUGCAGACAGUUAAAUCUGAGCUGUUAGUCAGUAUUUCAAACAUCAAGUCAAACCUGGGUGCCCUAAAGCACGCUGUGGGUGAAACGGAAACUUCAGUCUCCACAUCACUGAUGGAUGCUAAAUCUCUUCUCUGGUCAAAACACACAGAAAUAAACUCCAGCGACAUCUGUAGUGCAUGGCACACAUUAUAUCUGACACUAUUGCUGCAUAUGAAGUGCAUUAAAAGCGGCAUCGAUAAGAAAAUGAACACUUACCGAACUAUCAGAGUCCUUUCAGUGUCUGCUGGUAGGAUCAGCCGAAGGGAGAAAACUGAUUAAAACAAGCCAACAGGCAGAAAAAAAUAUUUGUGGAAGACGUUCUGCUGCUCCACCGAUAAGUAAACCAACAGUGAUCAUAUCAGAGUUAAUCCAAACGAGAAAAGCAGAGUCACGGCUGUCUCCUCCAUAGGACCUGUCAAUUGACCCUUCGCUAAACCCUGCCCCCCUUGGUUACUGUUGCUACGCCUGUCAAGCUUUCCCUCCUAGCAUGAAAUAUGGAGUUUUUAGCGGUACCGGUGAGUGAUAUUUCUCAGGAGAUAUGUGCAAAUUUCUGGACAUAUUCUACAGCGAUAUCAGAGAGAAGCAGACAGAAGGGUCUCCAAUAUGCUUUUGAAAACUACAUUCACCAAAUUAGAUGUUGGCGGAGUGCAAAUGACGUGGACGUUAAAAUCGAGGGAAAAGCGCACAGAUCUCAGUGUAAGCACCAAACACCCCAUGUAUUGUCACUUCACGUCAAAAAUAAUCAUUUACAAGAACAACAAUGUUCUUUUACAGCAGGGUAAGCCGAUAUGUAUUAUAUACAGCCAUGGCCAUAAGUUUGGACACAGCAUGACUUACUAUGUCUGUUUUGAUGUCUAUUACAGAACAUAACUAACAUUUUUUGACAGCACCAGUUUAAUUAGUCAACAAAUGAACAAGGGAUAUAAUAUUAUCAAUAAAUUCCAACAAUUGGAACAACUUUGUUCCCAAAACAUAAUAUUAGAAGAAAAUAACAAAAAAAUGCAAUACUUUCACAACCGAAUUUGGUAAGAAUAACAAAAUGACACCAAACUCUUUUGAUGUUUUUUUUAAAUAUGAAACUUAAUAUAGUUCUCAGGAGUUGUGUACUGUAUUGUAAGUGACAAUUUUGUGGUAUUUUCUAAGAUUCACAAGCGUCAUGGUACUUGUGUCCAAACUUAUGGCCAUGGCUGUACAUUUAAAUUAAUGUUAUGUCAACUGUCAUUAUCAUGUCUGCCCAUUUCUUGCUAAGCUAAAUUUGUGUUUGUUUACUGCGCACCAGGAUCUCCAACCGAUCUCAUCUGUUGUUGUCACCAAAGCCAGACGUGAGCGUAGGCGGAGACCCGUAGAUUGCUAGUAUAUAUAUAUGCUACACUAGUAUGUCAGAAGUUGUCUCUAUAUAUCACCAGUAUUUAUUUUGCUCAAAUAAUACACAGUAGCUCAAGUUUUAAGAGAAGUAACCUUCCAUUGAGACGUCUUUCUUUGCUAAUGUUAUCUGACCUAACACACAGAGCUACGGUUAGCUAAUGUUAGCUAGCAACUUACCUUAGAACAGACGUGGGUGUUCUUAUUGAUUUUGGAGGGAUUCAGCUGAUCAUGCGGUCUCUCACACUGCUUAAUCCACACGCUGCACCUUUCUUCUUGUGUCUUUGGCGUGGGGAAUGCAAAAAAAUCAACAUCACCCUCCAAGCUUUGCAGAUAACGGGUGUCGGACCUGCAAGUAGAAUUCAGAAAAUCCAUUUUUUGCCUUGGUGUUUUUUUUUUUUUUUUAAUCUGCUGAAAGAUAUAAGCGAAAAAAGCAGUCCAUGCCAUUGCUGAGCAUUUCUGCCAUGAAAUAGCAUUGCAUCGGAGACAAAAACACAAAGCUAGACUUCCAUGGUUUCAACAAAUUUAGCCAAAGACUGGAGGCUUUAACAGAAGAAUCUUCUCUUCUACAACCUCAUGUUACCUGACUACUAUAUAUCCCUCAAUGGUGGAUAAUUACCUCCGCCAAGGAGGUUAUGUGACACCCGGCGUUUGUGUGUCCGUCCGUCCGUCUGUUAGCAAGAUAACUCAAAAAUGCCUGGGCAGAUUCACAUGAAAUUUUUGAGAGGACGUAAACUAUGGUAAGAGGAAGAGCUGAUUUAAUUUAGGUGGCAAUCCGGAAAGGAUCCUGGAUUCUGGAUCACUUUGAAUUUUUUAGUAUGUUUUAGUAUGUGGUCACCACAUCUGCUGAAAGAUAUAAGCGAAAAAAGCAGUCAAUGCCAUUAGUGAGCAUUUCUGCCAUAAAAUAGCAUUGCAUCGGAGACAAAAACACAAUGCCAGACUUCCAAGGUUUCAACAAAUUUUAAUCAAAUAAUUUUUAAAAUUGAAAUUUUAAAAAUAUAUAAUAAAAUAUAUAUGACAUAUAUGACAACAGAUGAUUUUCCUUGACCCAGUCGGAAUCCACGGAGGACCAGGAGCAGACCAAGGAGCCAGACGAGUCAGGUAACCAAAAGCAAGCCGAGGUCAGCAUGGAGGGACAAAGACAGUCCGGCAUCAAACAACGACUGAAGACGGUUCUUAUAGGACACCAGGACCUGAUUAGCUGGCCUCCACCUGCACAUGAUCUGCUGAUGACAGAUGACACAAACCUGGACUCCUCAUCAGCACAGCACACACCUGCAAAGAGAGAGUGAGCAAGGCAGAGGGGGGAGAGAGCCCUGCCACAGCUCACAGCCUAAGCUGUGGCUGUAAAAAAACAUGUGACUUUGCAUGUUUUAACACCUUGUUUUGCAAAGAAAUUAACACAUUCUUGCCAUCUGCAGAUUACACUUCAAAGAAAAGAGCCUUUGUUUGUCACGCUGAGAUAAACCGGAAUAAAAUGUUCCCUCUCCAGACUUUUCAUCAGAGCCUGGAAGUUGCCUGAUCUCAGACCAGCUCUGUGUCCCAGCAGGGCCAUACAUUCAUCAUGCCCGCUUGCCUGUAGUGGGAAAAUAAAAUAUAUAUAAAUGUAAGUAAACGGAGUGCAAGAUCUCCCUGGUCGUUAGAGUGCUUUGAAUUUCAUUAUGCAACAAGCUGUCCGGCCGUUAUAAAGGAGGCCCGUGAAAAAGAAGUGAUCGCUGGAUGUGAUGAGGAUGAAAUGCAAUAAUUUACACCAUCAUGAAUCUGAUUGUAACGUCCACAUUAUUAGAAAGGCCGAUAAGAGCAUUUAUGACUAUUUCCUUAGUGUUGUAAAGGGAAGUGGGUGGUUUGAUUAAUAGGAGCAGCUGGCCGGCUCCAGGUUCAGCACAUUCUGAUGUUGCAUAUAACUUACAGAGGUGGUAAUGGGCCAGUUUAUAUACUAAAAUGUCAUCUGUCACACAUGUGAGAUAAGCAGAAUUCUGACUAACACAUUCUGCAUUUCCCCCAAGUGCUGCAUUUGAUAUGCACGCUGUGUAAAUGUGGGUGAGUAAUGCUUUUGUUUUCACCAAAGAAAUAUUCACCCAGGUGACAAGAUGCUAUCUGCUAAUGUGGUUUAUACAAAAGUGUAAAACUAGUUGGUUUCCUCAUUCAAAUAAACAUAUAUAUCUUGCUCAGA